rnacentral:ncRNA from 1 species
AAAGAAUUUGGUUCUGGUUUUUAUUGUUGAGGGGUUAGGAAUUUAUACAUGUAAGCUAUUUAGUGUUCCGGUGAGGGCCCGAGAGAGUUAAAGAGAAUAUUAAAAAUUUCUCUGUUUAUGAGUCGGAUGUGUUACUAUUUUUAAAAAGUAAUAUAACUAUUAAGUAUCGUCACAUCUGCAGUAGUAAAUAUUUAACUCUACCUGAGAGGGUGAUUAAAUUAUAUAACAGUAAUACUGGCGAAGAUACCGUGCCAGCAGUCGCGGUUAAACGGACAGUUUACUUAAUAUAGGAAGUAGCUUAACACAGAAAUUCUUAAUAAAAAGAUAAUAAGAUGAAAUGAAUAAUGUGGAAUUUGAUUUUUGUUGUAAAUAUUAUAAAUAUGGAGAAACUGUUAAGAUAAGGUGAGAAACCUGGUUUUGAUAUCCAGUUAUUCCUUAGAAAAAAAGUUAAUGCUGGUAGAGUAUCAAGGUAAUCUUUGAGAAACAAAUAACUUGGCGGUGAUUUAAUUCUGAUCAGGGGAGUUUGUCUGAAUAAAAUGAUGACCCACAUUACACCUAACCUUUUCUGUUUGUUCAGCCUCUAUAUCAUCGUCAUUAAGUCUUCAUUGUGAGCUAGAAGACUAUAAUUCCUAAGUAGAUGAAAGAUGUCAGAUCGAGAUGGAGCCUAUGGAGAGGAGAGGAUGGACUACAAUAAUUAUUAAUUAAUACACUGUAGUUAUGAAUUCUUUUUUGAAAUAAAUUAUUGAAAUAGGACUUGAUAGUAAUAGUCUAUAGAAAAAGAUUAUGAAGAAAGCUCUAAAUUGCGUACACAUCGCCCGUCACCUGCGGGGGUAACCUGGAGUAAGUCGUAACAAAGUAGGCGUACCGGAAGGUGCAGCCUGGCCAAUU